rnacentral:rRNA from 1 species
UACGUAGGGUGCAAGCGUUGUCCGGAUUUACUGGGCGUAAAGAGCGCGCAGGCGGUCGUUCAAGUCGAGUGUGAAAGCCCCCGGCUCAACUGGGGAGGGUCACUCGAUACUGAUCGACUGGAAGGCAGGAGAGGGAAGCGGAAUUCCCGGUGUAGUGGUGAAAUGCGUAGAUAUCGGGAGGAACACCAGUGGCGAAGGCGGCUUCCUGGCCUGUUCUUGACGCUGAGGCGCGAAAGCUAGGGGAGCAAACGGG